UACGGAGGGUGCGAGCGUUAAUCGGAAUUACUGGGCGUAAAGAGUUCGUAGGCUGUUUUGUAAGUUAGGGGUGAAAUCCCGCAGCUCAACUGCGGAACUGCCUUUAAAACUGCAAGACUUGAGUGCGAGAGAGGGUGGCAGAAUUCCUGGUGUAGGAGUGAAAUCCGUAGAUAUCAGGAGGAAUACCGGUGGCGAAGGCGGCCACCUGGCUCGUAACUGACGCUGAGGAACGAAAGCGUGGGGAGCAAACAGG
rnacentral:rRNA from 1 species